UACGUAGGGUGCAAGCGUUAAUCGGAAUUACUGGGCGUAAAGCGUGCGCAGGCGGUUGUGCAAGACCGAUGUGAAAUCCCCGGGCUCAACCUGGGAAUGGCAUUGGUGACUGCACGGCUAGAGUGUGUCAGAGGGGGGUAGAAUUCCACGUGUAGCAGUGAAAUGCGUAGAGAUGUGGAGGAACACCGAUGGCGAAGGCAGCCCCCUGGGUCAACACUGACGCUCAUGCACGAAAGCGUGGGGAGCAAACAGG
rnacentral:rRNA from 1 species